GAGUCCCUGCUGGAGUCAGAAGUUUUAGGCGAAUCCCAGGCGCGCCAAGAGAAGUGCUACAAAAGCCAUCCAUCUUGCAAGCGUUGGUGCCGAGGCGCAACGCUGAGAACGCAAAUACUAAAGGGCGCUGUUCUUUCCUCGUGGAGCUCACAGUCCGCUGGGGAGACCGUGAGAUGACAGCAGAGAAACUAGGGCGAUCAGUAGUACUCAGUGCAAGGACAGCGAGCAGAGAAGGCAAACCUAGUGCUUGCUGAGGAAGACUUCACAGAGGAGGUAGUGUCAGGGCCGAGACUAGGAGAAGGAUUCUCCAGGCUUCAUAUGGUAAAACUCUCUGGGAAGGAAAGGAACUCAGAGUCCCAUGCAGAAAAUUGUUCAGCUGGAGGGGUAUCAGAAAGAUGGAUUUCCAAAGCCAACUGUUUCCUGUAGUGUGUGGAUCUCUGCAAGCAGAGCCUCAUCUUUCAAUUUCAGCUACAUGAAAGAGGAAGAAAGGGAAAGAUAUAUGUCAUACGUGAUAUACUUUAUGUGGCUUUGAAGACCCCUCUUUUGUGGGGCUACGGCUAAAGAACAUAGUUCCCUGGGAUGGAAUUGGCUCUUCCUAUAUUCCCUACUUCAUGAAAACUCCAGUAGAAGACCUUAGAACCUUGUCCUGGUUACAUGGAUAUGUUUACUUUGCGAAAAUUCAUCAAGCACUAUGCACGGUCAUGAUUUGUACAUUUUUUUGUAAGAUAACUUCAUUAAAGUUUACUUUUUUUAUUUUUAAAAA
rnacentral:antisense_RNA from 1 species